AACGAACGCUGGCGGCAGGCCUAACACAUGCAAGUCGAACGGUAACGCGGGGCAACCUGGCGACGAGUGGCGAACGGGUGAGUAAUGCAUCGGAACGUGCCCAGUAGUGGGGGAUAGCCCGGCGAAAGCCGGAUUAAUACCGCAUACGACCUACGGGGGAAAGGGGGGGAUCGCAAGACCUCUCGCUAUUGGAGCGGCCGAUGUCAGAUUGGGUAGUUGGUGGGGUAAAGGCCUACCAAGCCGACGGUCUGUAGCUGGUCUGAGAGGACGACCAGCCACACUGGGACUGAGACACGGCCCAGACUCCUCCGGGAGGCAGCAGUGGGGAAUUUUGGACAAUGGGCGAAAGCCUGAUCCAGCCAUGCCGCGUGCGGGAAGAAGGCCUUCGGGUUGUAAACCGCUUUUGUCAGGGAAGAAAUCUUCUGAGCUAAUACCUCGGGAGGAUGACGGUACCUGAAGAAUAAGCACCGGCUAACUACGUGCCAGCCGCCGCAGUAA
rnacentral:rRNA from 1 species